rnacentral:rRNA from 1 species
GAUGAACGCUGGCGGCGUGCCUAAUACAUGCAAGUCGAGCGAACGGACGAGAAGCUUGCUUCUCUGAUGUUAGCGGCGGACGGGUGAGUAACACGUGGAUAACCUACCUAUAAGACUGGGAUAACUUCGGGAAACCGGAGCUAAUACCGGAUGAUAUUUUGAACCGCAUGGUUCAAAAGUGAAAGACGGUCUUGCUGUCACUUAUAGAUGGAUCCGCGCUGCAUUAGCUAGUUGGUAAGGUAACGGCUUACCAAGGCAACGAUGCAUAGCCGACCUGAGAGGGUGAUCGGCCACACUGGAACUGAGACACGGUCCAGACUCCUACGGGAGGCAGCAGUAGGGAAUCUUCCGCAAUGGGCGAAAGCCUGACGGAGCAACGCCGCGUGAGUGAUGAAGGUCUUCGGAUCGUAAAACUCUGUUAUUAGGGAAGAACAUAUGUGUGAGAAACUGUGCACAUCUUGACGGUACCUAAUCAGAAAGCCACGGCUAACUACGUG